rnacentral:rRNA from 1 species
CCUACGGGAGGCAGCAGUGAGGAAUAUUGGUCAAUGGACGCAAGUCUGAACCAGCCAUGCCGCGUGCAGGAAGAAGCAUCUAUGGUGUGUAAACUGCUUUUAUACAGGAAGAAACAACUCUACGUGUAGAGUCUUGACGGUACUGUAAGAAUAAGGACCGGCUAACUCCGUGCCAGCAGCCGCGGUAAUACGGAGGGUCCAAGCGUUAUCCGGAAUCAUUGGGUUUAAAGGGUCCGUAGGCGGUCUUAUAAGUCAGUGGUGAAAUCUCCUAGCUCAACUAGGAAACUGCCAUUGAUACUGUAGGGCUUGAAUUUUUGUGAAGUAACUAGAAUAUGUAGUGUAGCGGUGAAAUGCUUAGAUAUUACAUGGAAUACCAAUUGCGAAGGCAGGUUACUAACAAACGAUUGACGCUGAUGGACGAAAGCGUGGGGAGCGAACAG